ensembl:miRNA
CUGGAUACAGAGUGAAGUGGCUGGCCCCGUCUGGAAGACUAGUGAUUUUGUUGUUGUCUUACUGCGCUCAACAACAAAUCCCAGUCUGCCGAAUGGUGCCAACCAUUGCA